ACAUGCCUACAACAUAGGGUUAAUACAUCGAGUCCCAUUAGAACUCCAUAGUUAAGCGCACUUGGGCUGGAGUAGUACUAGGAUGGGUGACCAUCCGGGAAGUCCUAUUGUCUUACAUGCU
rnacentral:rRNA from 1 species